GGCGAAAUGGCCGAGUGGUUAAGGCGGCUGAUUAGAAUUCCCUGUAAAGUUCUAAGCAUCAUCUGGACUCUGUCCGCGCAGGUUCGAGUCCUGCUUUCGUCG